UACAGAGGGUGCGAGCGUUGUUCGGAAUUAUUGGGCGUAAAGGGCGCGUAGGCGGUGCGGUAAGUCACCUGUGAAAUCUCCCGGCUCAACCGGGAGCUUGCAGGCGAAACUGCCGUGCUGGAGUGUGGGAGAGGUGCGUGGAAUUCCCGGUGUAGCGGUGAAAUGCGUAGAUAUUGGGAGGAACACCAGUGGCGAAGGCGGCUCACUGGACCGGUACUGACGCUGAUGCGCGAAAGCGUGGGGAGCAAACGGG
rnacentral:rRNA from 1 species